AGGUACUGUUUAUCUUAAACAAACAAAGUCUCAGACGAGCGAAGGUUUAACGACAUUAAUUUUGGGCAACAGGUAAACACAACACUUUAAAAUUGAUUAGAAGGGGGAGGUGGUCCACAUGGCAUGAUCAUUUUUUCUAAUAGGUUUUUGCGAACUUGGACUCUCGGUUCGCCGAGCGCCGUUGCCAUAUAUGCGAGCAACGGUGGAUGCCCCACUACAGAAGACAAAGUAUCCCGGUGCUGAUUUACCAUCCAUUCACUAGUUUAUAUGGUGAGCGAAAAUUCAUUUGUCAAAUAAACCGAUUAGUACUUACUAUUUGGUGGUAAACGCAUUACCGACACCAACAUAACGCGCUUGUAACUGUUCUAGUUUUGCUUGAGAGCGCAACCUGUCUGCCUACAAUCGUUAAUAAAUGAAAGAAGCAUAGAAUAGAGAUAAUUCAAGAAUUUUUUUCUUACCAUAGUAUAUAUUGGAAUAUGUGGUAUAAUGUUCAGACUGGGUUUUUUUAACACAUAUUGUUAAUUGAAACGAAUAAGGUAUAAUACUGUAAUUUGCAAUUCUAAAUUGCGAUUUCUAGCGCACCAAAGC